ACGGCUCAGUAACACGUAGUCAACAUGCCCAGGGGACGUGGAUAACCUCGGGAAACUGAGGAUAAACCGCGAUAGGUCAUCACUUCUGGAAUGGGUAAUGACUUAAACCUAUAUGGCCCCCGGAUUGGACUGCGGCCGAUCAGGCUGUUGGUGAGGUAAUGGCCCACCAAACCUGUAACCGGUACGGGCUCUGAGAGGAGGAGCCCGGAGAUGGGCACUGAGACAAGGGCCCAGGCCCUAUGGGGCGCAGCAGGCGCGAAACCUCUGCAAUAGGCGAAAGCUUGACAGGGUUACUCUGAGUGAUUUCCGUUAAGGAGAUCUUUUGGCACCUCUAAAAAUGGUGCAGAAUAAGGGGUGGGCAAGUCUGGUGUCAGCCGCCGCGGUAAUACCAGCACCCCGAGUGGUCGGGACGUUUAUUGGGCCUAAAGCAUCCGUAGCCGGUUCUACAAGUCUUCCGUUAAAUCCACCUGCUUAACAGAUGGGCUGCGGAAGAUACUAUAGAGCUAGGAGGCCAGUGGCGAAGGCGGUCUGCCAGAACACGUUCGACGGUGAGGGAUGAAAGCUGGGGGAGCAAACCGGAUUAGAUACCCGGGUAGUCCCAGCUGUAAACGAUGCUGACUCGGUGAUGAAUUGGCUUAUUGCUAACUCAGUGCCGCAGGGAAGCCGUUAAGUUUGCCGCCUGGGGAGUACGGUCGCAAGACUGUAACUUAAAGGAAUUGGGAGAGGCAAGCGGUACUCGAUGGGUAGGGGUAAAAUCCGUUGAUCCAUUGAAGACCACGGCGGGGGAGCAC
rnacentral:rRNA from 1 species